rnacentral:rRNA from 1 species
CCAAUAGCGUAUAUUAAAGUUGUUGCAGUUAAAAAGCUCGUAGUUGAACUUCGGGGUUUACUCAUUGGUCAGGCUUAAUUGUCUGUACUGGUGAGCUGAAUCUCUACCUUCUGAGGAACUUUCAUGCCAUUUAUUUGGUGUGAUGGGAAAUCAGUACUGUUACUUUGAAAAAAUUAGAGUGUUUAAAGCAGUCUAACGUCUGACUACAUUAUCAUGGAAUAAUGAAAUAGGACGGACUGAUUCUAUUUCGUUGGUUUCUAGGAUCACCGUAAUGAUUAAUAGGGAUAGUUGGGGGCAUUAGUAUUCAAUUGUCAGAGGUGAAAUUCUUGGAUUUAUUGAAGACUAACUACUGCGAAAGCAUUUGCCAAGGAUGUGUUCAUUAAUCAAGAACGAAAGUUAGGGGAUCGAAGACGAUCAGAUACCGUCGUAGUCUUAACCAUAAACUAUGCCGACUAGGGAUCGGACGAAGUUAAUUUUAUAAUGACGCGUUCGGCACCUUACG